UACGGAGGGUGCAAGCGUUGUUCGGAAUCACUGGGCGUAAAGGGUGCGUAGGCGGGUCUUUAAGUCAGGGGUGAAAUCCUGGAGGCUCAACUCCAGAACUGCCUUCGAUACUGGGAGUGCUCGAGUCCGGAGAGGUGAGUGGAACUGCGAGUGUAGAGGUGAAAUUCGUAGAUAUUCGCAAGAACACCAGUGGCGAAGGCGGCUCACUGGCCCGGUACUGACGCUGAGGUGCGAAAGCGUGGGGAGCAAACAGGG
rnacentral:rRNA from 1 species